AACUACCCAAAUUAAGUCAACUCUGCGCACAGGUUGCGGUUAAGGAUGACGAUAGUUCAACGGGUAUAAAAAUGUGCAGCUCUCAACAAACGAAAUUAACUCAGCAUCAGUCCUUCUCUAUAUACACAUACAUAGAUCCCUAGAAGUCAAAGUUUCCAAAAAAAUCCACAAAAAAAUCAAACAUGUUUGUCUACUAUCUUGCCCUUGCUGCACUUUUAAUUGCUGGGUACCAGGCUACCCCCACGAAUCCAGAGGAAAGGCUGUACUUUAACAAUGUGCCGAUCACCGGUAAUCGAAACGCCACGAUGAUCCCAAUAUACUGCAUGCUGUUUAACUUCUUCUGCCCACCUGGCUAUACCGGACCUAAUUACGCCAUUCCUAACAUCGCCAUUCCCAACAUCAACGGCUAACUGGUCUCUACAGUGUUGAAUGGCAGGUUCCCUGAAUAAGCACAUACAUACAUAAAUUGAUCACGGUUUCUUUCCAAGCAAAUAAAAAUAUUUUUCUAAAAUAUACAAA